UUUCGGCUAUCACUUUAGGAUGGACCCGCGGUGCAUUAGUUAGUUGGUGAGGUAAAGGCUCACCAAGACCGUGAUGCAUAGCCGACCUGAGAGGUAAUCGGCCACACUGGGACUGAGACACGGCCCAGACUCCUACGGGAGGCAGCAGUAGGGAAUCUUCCACAAUGGACGAAAGUCUGAUGGAGCAACGCCGCGUGAGUGAAGAAGGUUUUCGGAUCGUAAAACUCUGUUGUUGGAGAAGAAUGUAUCUGAUAGUAACUGAUCAGGUAGUGACGGUAUCCAACCAGAAAGCCACGGCUAACUACGUG
rnacentral:rRNA from 1 species